rnacentral:rRNA from 1 species
CGGUCAGCGAUGGGGAUGCGUUCCAUUAGAUAGUUGGCGGGGUAACGGCCCACCAAGUCGACGAUGGAUAGGGGUUCUGAGAGGAAGGUCCCCCACAUUGGAACUGAGACACGGUCCAAACUCCUACGGGAGGCAGCAGUGAGGAAUAUUGGUCAAUGGGCGAGAGCCUGAACCAGCCAAGUAGCGUGAAGGAAGACUGCCCUAUGGGUUGUAAACUUCUUUUAUACGGGAAUAAAGUCAUCCACGUGUGGAUGUUUGUAUGUACCGUAUGAAUAAGCAUCGGCUAACUCCGUGCCAGCAGCCGCGGUAAUACGGAGGAUGCGAGCGUUAUCCGGAUUUAUUGGGUUUAAAGGGAGCGCAGACGGGAGAUUAAGUCAGUUGUGAAAGUUUGCGGCUCAACCGUAAAAUUGCAGUUGAUACUGGUUUCCUUGAGUGCAGUUGAGGCAGGCGGAAUUCGUGGUGUAGCGGUGAAAUGCUUAGAUAUCACGAAGAACCCCGAUUGCGAAGGCAGCUUGCUAAACUGUAACUGACGUUCAUGCUCGAAAGUGUGGGUAUCAAACAGGAUUAGAUACCCUGGUAGUCCACACGGUAAACGAUGGAUACUCGCUGUUGGCGAUAUACUGUCAGCGGCCAAGCGGAAGCAUUAAGUAUCCCACCUGGGGAGUACGCCGGCAACGGUGAAACUCAAAGGAAUUGACGGGGGCCCGC